UACGUAGGGUGCGAGCGUUAAUCGGAAUUACUGGGCGUAAAGCGUGCGCAGGCGGUUAUGUAAGACAGGUGUGAAAUCCCCGGGCUUAACCUGGGAACUGCAUUUGUGACUGCAUAGCUAGAGUACGGUAGAGGGGGAUGGAAUUCCGCGUGUAGCAGUGAAAUGCGUAGAUAUGCGGAGGAACACCGAUGGCGAAGGCAAUCCCCUGGACCUGUACUGACGCUCAGGCACGAAAGCGUGGGGAGCAAACAGG
rnacentral:rRNA from 1 species